GCAAAGGAGCCGUUUCAUACUGUGCUCCUCUGAGCCGUCUAUGCCUCUGUUUGUAUUCGCUGGUAGUCAGCAUGCACCUGUGUGUUUCAGCACUCACUGGUCUCUCUCAUUCCAACUGGUUGUUUUUGAAUGCUGUCAUGUUAGCAGCUCGUACAGCAGUCAGCAGGAGAGAAGCAGAACUGGACCUGGUAGACUCAAAAUAACAAAAACUCAGAGCAAAGGAAUUGUGUUUGGAGAGUUUCUGCCUCCAUUUUGAGACAAAAGAAAUCUGAGGAACAAACUUGCCUAGCUGGAAUGAAGGACUGACAACAAGCAGACUUGUGUGGAAAAGGACUGAUCUCUGAGGGAGACUGUUCAGCUUGCCUCCUGACAGAUGACCAGUUUCCCUCCGGGUGGCAGGAUGAACCCCUGUGGUGGAUGGAAAGCAGUGACCGUGUUCCCACCGGUUUCUUGAUUUAUGCUGAAGCAUUGGCCUACACUACCCCUCAAGCCUGACUACAUCUGAUUCUAGAGGACGUCUGACCAUCAGUGUGCCCCACUGGUAUGUUGGCGAUUUAUAAUACUUACAGUUUUCUCUCUGUUAGCUUGUUUCAGUGUAGUUUGUAAUCCGCACUGUAUGAUGCGUACCUGAUGAUUUUUUUUACAAUGCAUGUUUUUUGAUGGUGUUCGCUGUUCACACCAAAUAUUUUCUUGAGUUUAUGGCAGGUAGUAAGGUUAAGAGAAACUGUGUUAUUACAUAUUAUAGAAAUGCGUAGUUUAUUAAAUAAUCGUACAGAAAGUAUUUAGAAACCACCAGUUUUCUUUUCAAAAUUAAAACUGAUGUCAUGUUUUGUAUUCUGUACAGGUGCGAUUUAAUAUGAUUUCAUAGUCUCACUUAGUCUUACUUUAUUUACCUAGACAUAUCAGAUUUGUUGCAGAAUUAGCUUUUGCUUCGCUGUUGGAGAUUGUAGUUAUUUUUGUUCCUUGUUGCAAAGACUACAAAUGGUCUUGUAAUGGUCUUGGGACAUUUUAUUCAUAUUGCGGUAUUUCAUUAAAAAACCUCAUACUGCCUAAAAUGGCAUGUUAUACAGCACAAAUUUAUUUUCUAAAUUCAGAUCAUUCAUUAGUAGCUUGCAUUUUGCAUUUUCUGUGAAACAACAUACAGUAUAUUAUUCUGUCUGACAUUUCAAAAAUAAAUGUUGACCUCAAAAGAAUGUGAUCAGUAGGUUACACAAACACCACGUCCAUCUCACAGUCAUGUGCUCUGGCCUGUUCAGUGUACCAUGGUUUAAUUUCAAGGCUCUCCUCGGUAAGAUACACCAACAGGAGACAGACAGAUAUGUUUUAAAGCCACAAUGAAAAGGUCUAAUUGGAUAUAAAACAUGAACAAUAUGUGAGAGGAUCAGUAUUUUAUUUUAUUGUCUCAGUACUAUCACGCAAAGAUGUAUUCCUUAAAUAUUAAGAGAGCAAAAGUUAAAGUGGACUGCACUUGUAAUGUUCUAAUGUACAAUGGGAGAUAUAUGAUGUAGAUGUACAAAGUCAUCAACAUUAUAAACUCUGAUUGAUAAAUACAGUGUUGUUCAUUUUGACACAUUUGGUUGAAUGCCCACUGAGAUGAGCUAAGUUUACAGGUUCAGACAGUGGAAUGACUUGCUGUUUCCUUGUUUUGUGGGUUUCUGCUUCCUUAUUUGCUUUUGAAGGGGUGAUGCCA